CCCUUUGUUCACUGAAGGCAGGCUGUGUCAUAUGAGCCCACGAAAGCGGACAUUACGCUUGGUGUGGACGGGGUACCCACACGCUCCUUGUUGUCCUAUUGCUGCUCCCCGGUGAAACCGCCGCGGCCACAAGAAGGACCGCCACACUAAAAAAAGCAACAGUGUUGUUCAUUUAACGUGUAUUUUUUCACUCCAAUAGCGAAAAAUUAUUAUUUUUUUCAUUUAAACUAAACAUUUUAUUUUAUGUUUUACCUAUUUUUUUAUUUGUAUACAACUUAAACUUUCAGCAGGACAUCAAACUGAAUUUAUUCAUUUGAUCAGAGCAUUUUUAUUAGACUAAGUAUGAUUUGCCCAUUGUUGAGUUUGACACAGAACAACCAAGAAGAACCAGCAACAUUGAUACAGAGAAGCAGCUUUCAAUCAGUGUCCCUGCUGUGCAACCUAUUUGGAAGCUCCUGCCAAUGAUUAUUACUUGGGGGCACCAUGGCAGAUAUUGCAACUGUUCAAUUGCUGGUCAUCUUGGAAGAAGACAACAAGAAUGGCGCUACGCAACGGGAUUCCUGACUCACUGGAAGAGCACAUCGAAGAGGGGAAGAAUGCAUGUGGAUUAGGAGGACACAUAAGGCUGCAAUAAGACACUGCUUUUGGGAACAUAUCUGUGAACUCCACAACUAUCAAUGCCGAGUUCAUGCGAAUCACAACAGUUUCUCUGGAGACAAAGUUCUUGGCUCAGUUGGACAAGCACUCCACCGAACUGCUAGAGACUGGACAUCACCAUCAGAAGAGAAUCCUCUAAUCUUUGAUCUACUUGGGCGAACCUGUUGAGCACCUUAUCAAAGAAUACCAGGAGAUGCAGGAAAAUGAGGCUGAAAAACUGGAGCUGGCAACCAUGGCGAUCUUUAUCACUGGGAAAGAUGAUCCUCUCCAUCCACCCAAAGACAUUAUGACUGACACUGAAGGGGGUCCUGAACGAGUUGCCUUUGGUUGGAACAGCUGUUGCCAUGUUCUUUGGGCUCAUUUACACACUCAAACUAAAAAAUCUGAAAAGGCUGAAAUCCAACUUUGAAGUUAUGCAAAAGGUCCUAUUUUAUGGUGUUUCUACAGUAAAGACUUUGGAUCAUUUUAUAA